AGUGAACGCUGGCGGUAGGCCUAACACAUGCAAGUCGAACGGCAGCACAGGAGAGCUUGCUCUCUGGGUGGCGAGUGGCGGACGGGUGAGGAAUACAUCGGAAUCUACUUUUUCGUGGGGGAUAACGUAGGGAAACUUACGCUAAUACCGCAUACGACCUACGGGUGAAAGCAGGGGAUCUUCGGACCUUGCGCGAUUGAAUGAGCCGAUGUCGGAUUAGCUAGUUGGCGGGGUAAAGGCCCACCAAGGCGACGAUCCGUAGCUGGUCUGAGAGCGUGAUAAGCCACACUGGAACUGAGACACGGUCCAGACUCCUACGGGAGGCAGCAGGGGGGAAUAUUGGACAAUGGGCGCAAGCCUGAUCCAGCCAUACCGCGUGGGUGAAGAAGGCCUUCGGGUUGUAAAGCCCUUUUGUUGGGAAAGAAAUCCAGCUGGUUAAUACCCGGUUGGGAUGACGGUACCCAAAGAAUAAGCACCGGCUAACUUCGUGCCAGCAGCCGCCGUAA
rnacentral:rRNA from 1 species